rnacentral:rRNA from 1 species
CAGUCGCCGCGGGAAUCCGAAGGGGGCUAGCGUUGCUCGGAAUUACUGGGCGUAAAGGGAGCGUAGGCGGAUCGUUAAGUCAGGGGUGAAAUCCCAGAGCUCAACUCUGGAACUGCCUUUGAUACUGGGUGUCUUGAGUGUGAUAGAGGUAUGUGGAACUCCGAGUGUAGAGGUGAAAUUCGUAGAUAUUCGGAAGAACACCAGUGGCGAAGGCGACAUACUGGAUCAUUACUGACGCUGAGGCUCGAAAGCGUGGGGAGCAAACAGGAUUAGAUACCCCCGUAGUCCCUGUCUCUUAUAC